GCCAGGCGUGGUGGCUCACGCCUGUAAUCCAAGCACUUUGGAGGCCGAGGUGGAUGGAUCACCUGAGGUCAGGAGUUCAAGACCAGCCUGACCAACAUGGUGAAACCCUGUCUUUUUUUUUUUUUAAAGAUGGGGUUUCACCAUGAUGGCCAGGCUGGUCUUGAACUCCUGACCCCAGGUGAUCCACCCACCUCGGC
rnacentral:sRNA from 1 species